UAUUAUUCAGUUUCUCUCUCUCCCCUCUCUACACAAUCUCCCCCUCAGCGGCGGCAACCCCUUAAGUUAGCUGCUAUUUCCAACGAUUUGAGUCGUUCGGAUGUCGAUUUGCGAGGCAAGGGCAUGUUGGAAUAGAGAUUUAUACGAGUUGAGAUUCAAGUACUUCUGGGCACAGUGGUUGAUAGCUUUGGAGUUUUAUCUAUUUGGAGACUAUUGAGGUAGCUGCCUUGGCAUCCGCAGACCUUAACUCUCCUUCUUUUCAAUUCAUUUGUACUAUUCUAUAUUUCUAGACAGUUGUUUUAACAGUUAGAUUGUAUUGUGAGAUAAAUGCUCAUGUACUUAGUGACAACGAAUUUUGGGAGAUUUUGUAUUGAGUCGCGAUAUUUUCUUACAAGUUAUUUAUGAGAUUUUCACUAUUUAAGCUUA